CCUCUUCUGUGCUAGCACUCUGCAUAUAUAUUACCUUCUCUGUCCUUCAGGUCGUGCCCUUCUAUAAAAGAGGGUAAAGAAACCUACUUCAAAGCAUUGUAAAGUUUAAAUGGGAUAAUAUACAUAAAAAGCAUAAAUUUGUUUCACAACAUUGAAGUACAAUAAGCAGUACUUAAUUUUUCUAAAUUAAAUUAAAUCUGGCUCAAAGACCCCAUUUUCAAGGGUAGGAAGAUAUACAAUAGUAGUCAUUAAUGGGAGCUUUUUGCCUAUUUAGUUAAGUAUUCACCAUCAAAUAUGUAGGUAAGAGCCUGUGAUCUUGAGUCCAUCUUGGUUGCCCCUGGGAUUUUCAUUGCCCAAGCCCUCCAGGCCCCAUUGAAAGGCCAGUGGCUGCACAGCCUCUGUGCUAAGUGUGAGCAAUGCCGUGUCUUGCGACAGCUCUCAAGAUGAUGGGGCUUGAUGAUUAGUCAUCUCAGCAUCAUCACUUCAUCCCUUAAAACAUUGUGCUGUCUCCUAGAGGACUUCCACACAGAACCCGUCCACCUAAGGGACUCGUCUCUACAUCCUGAUUCUCAGGGUCUUGGAGCCACUGCUACCUUUAGGCAACUCUCCUUCUCUCACCCCAGCACUUGUGUCAACCCCUAUCUCCUCUCUCCUUGGAGCAGCCAGCUAAAGUCUCCUCCCACAUGAGGGUCUGGACAGGACUGUACAACAGGUAUCUCACAACUUCUGCUUGGGUUCAGGAAACAUGAAAGCCAUUAAUAACUCCUGAACCCAGAAGCCCAGAACUUCCUGUAAGACAAAUGAGGAAAGAUUACAGCACAGUUCUGAGUGUUAAUCCAUGUGAAGGCUGCCUCAAGAAAGCUGAUUCCCUUAGGCAGCACCUGGUACCAGAGAAAUUCACAGUGCCUGAAGCUGAGAUCUGGGGUUCCCAUACCCAAGCCACAUCAAGGAACUGGAAUCUGGGAGAAAGGAAAACAGUACUAGAAGCAGAACAAGAGUGUGGGAUCACUCCUGGGUGGUACUGUCACCUCAUUUGGACAGUUCACUGCCUAGAUGUGCUGAGUGUGCAAAUUCUGUCUCGUUGCCUCAUCCAGUGUUUCUCUGAAUAGAAGCAAAUAUCUGGGCACCAGGUAUGACUUGUCUUGUGACCCCAGCCAGUAAGUCAGCCCUUUUGAGCCACCACCUCUCCCUUGGUUAGAAGCUCUUUGGCAAUGGGUUCAUGGAAAACAUCCCAGAAUGGGAGCUACAUGCUGAAUUCCCUAGUACUGGCUUUGCCAUCGAUUGUGUGAUUCAUUCUCUCUGAUGUUCAAGCUGUGAGAAGCAAAUUUGAAAUGAUGGAUGUGCUAUAUUAAAUAUAUCAAUAAGAGCAGAAGUUAAACCUUGCAAGCUGUAGGGUUUGCUUCCACGAUAAGCCUGGCUAUCUC
rnacentral:lncRNA from 1 species